GAUGAACGCUGGCGGCGUGCCUAAUACAUGCAAGUCGAGCGAACAGACGAGGAGCUUGCUCCUCUGACGUUAGCGGCGGACGGGUGAGUAACACGUGGAUAACCUACCUAUAAGACUGGGAUAACUUCGGGAAACCGGAGCUAAUACCGGAUAAUAUAUUGAACCGCAUGGUUCAAUAGUGAAAGACGGUUUUGCUGUCACUUAUAGAUGGAUCCGCGCCGCAUUAGCUAGUUGGUAAGGUAACGGCUUACCAAGGCAACGAUGCGUAGCCGACCUGAGAGGGUGAUCGGCCACACUGGAACUGAGACACGGUCCAGACUCCUACGGGAGGCAGCAGUAGGGAAUAUUCCGCAAUGGGCGAAAGCCUGACGGAGCAACGCCGCGUGAGUGAUGAAGGUCUUCGGAUAGUAAAACUCUGUUAUUAGGGAAGAACAAAUGUGUAAGUAACUAUGCACGUCUUGACGGUACCUAAUCAGAAAGCCACGGCUAACUACGUG
rnacentral:rRNA from 1 species